UGGUUGGAAAAAUUAAACAAUAUUAUAUUAAUUAACUUUCUGAUAGAAACACUACAUUUCUCUCUUCCUCUUCCUUUUUCUCUCUCAUUCUCUUUCCUAAUUUUUCAACUUUUUCUCUUUCUCUCAUUUUUUUCUCAGGUCUUACUUCAUUGUUUAGAAGCUUAUUUUGUUCUACUUCAGAUCUACGAAACUUUGGCGGCGGCUAUGGCGUUUCCGGCGAUUUUACGGUAGUAGGCGUUUUCACAAUGGUAGAUCUGUUGCAGCGACAACAUGUUUCCGACGACGAGCAUGGUGGUGGUUGGAUUCGAAAUGCUUUAUGUGUGAUUUCUUCAGUUUAGGUUUUCAACUUUGGAGAACCAACGUUUACUUUUAAGCAUUUGGCUUUCAAUAUUACAGACAAUGGUGAAAGUGAUGAUUGUUGAUGAAAUGGUUGUUGUGUUUUCUUUUCAUUAUCUGUAACAUUGAUACAAACCCUAAAAAUCAACAAUGUUCAUAUUUCUUUAUUUAUUUUCCAAUCUCAUAUUUUUUUGUAUUGAUUUGCAUUUAUUACUCAAAAAGUCAUCUAGAUUGUUCAGAUUCUUACUGAUCUCUUUCUAUUCAAGGGAAACCAGUGAAAAAGAUUGUUUUUUAUUUAGUUGGAGCUAAAUUUCUUGGGAAUGUGAAAUUUAUACUUUGUUGGUAAGAAAGUUGAUAAAUAAAUGUUGCUGCCAAAUUAAAUACUAUGUGAUAAUAUGAAACAAUCUUUUAAUUUAUAAUUAUUUUUUAUUUUUUAUUGUAUUUCAAGAUGCUUUGUUAUGUUAACCAUACAUUUUUUGAGUUAUCAUAAACUGAUAAAAGCUUCAAUUUUAACAGAGACAAAAUGAAAGCAGAGAAAGUCUAAGUAAAUUUCACUAUGGAGCUUCAAUUUUAACAGAGAUAAAAAGAAAGCAGAGAAAGUCUAAGUAGAUUGCACUAUGGAUUUAGAAGUGGAUGUUGGGGUGAGUAAAACAAGUUCUUUUUUAUUUGAUUUGAUGGUUUGAUUUCUUGAAAUGUUUUAUGUGAUUUCGGUAAGUUCAGGUGUUGCGACGACUAUAGCGUUUCCGGCGGCUUCUAUGGCGUUUCGACUCUCUUACCACAGUUUGCGGUUUCGCGGUGGAAGAUAUCUUGCGGCGCCAAGUAUGAUGGUAGCUUUGUUUGAAAUGUUAUAUAAUAAUGUAUUUUGGAAUUUCUAUUAUGAUUUGUAUCAAAUUAUGGUAUUUCUAAACAAAUAUUUGAUUUUAUAUGGCAUAUAGUUUCAUUUUUUGCAGAGAUGUUUAUGGAAUUUCUAUAAUGAUUUGUAUCAAAUUACGGUAUUUCUAAACAAAUAUUCUAUUAUGAUUUUAUAUAAUAAUGUUUGAUUUUAAUUUUUUGGGUUUUUAGUUUUAUUUUAUUUUAUUUUUUUGUGUUUGGUUUGAUUUUUUUGGGUUUUUAGUUUUAUUUUAUUUUAUUUUUUUGUGUUUGGUUUGAUUUUUUUGGGUUUUUUUUAUGAAGUUGUUGUGUGAUUUUGAAUGAAAAUAUUCUAUUUUUUUAUUUGUUAUUACAGAUCCAAAUAAGAAUAAGAAAAAUGAGAAAUGAGAAAAAAAAUCUUAAAAGAUAGUAAGUGAGAAUUUAAAGACGACCAAUAAAAAGGAAUGGUUUUGAUGUAAGAGAUAUGAGAGGUAAUGAUGGUCUUAAGAGAUAUGAGGAGUAAUAAUGGUCUUUGAUGGAAUAGAUAUGAGGAGUAAUAAUGGUCUUUGAUAGUAAUAAUAAUCUUUGAUGGAGAACUGGAUUGUGGAAUGACAAAAAGACACGUGGAAUAAAGAAAGAGAAAAGAAAAGAAAAUUAAUUAUGAAAAAUUGAUAUCCUGUAAUAAAGCUAAUACUAGUUGUCUAGCAUCAACAAAAUACAAAAAGUAUUUUUUUUUUAAUUUUAUCAGUUGUUGGAAAUAUAAUUAUACAUAUUAUUUAUUAAACUACCAUUAUAAAUACUAUUUGUUACUUAUUAAAACAUAAUAAUUUUUUUAAGUUUUAAAUUUAUGUUUUUAUUAUUUUAAA